AUUUGAUGUUGAGGGCACUUGAUGUAUAACUUCUUGAACUGCUCCUAAUAAUCAUAAAGCGACUCUCCUAGAUGCGGCUUGAUACCGCAUAUUUUCUUCCUUAGACU